UUUAAAAUGAGAGUUUGAUCCUGGCUCAGGAUGAACGCUGGCGGCGUGCCUAAUACAUGCAAGUCGAACGCUUUGUGCUUAAUUGAUAUGACGAGCUUGCUCUGAUUUGAUUUUUUGAUUUCAAAGAGUGGCGAACGGGUGAGUAACACGUGGGUAACCUACCUCUUAGCAGGGGAUAACAUUUGGAAACAAGU
rnacentral:rRNA from 1 species